rnacentral:pre_miRNA from 1 species
AACACUAUCCUGAUGCUGUCAGAGUAAGUGGUAAAGCUCCAGCAUCAGUGAUUUUGUUG